rnacentral:sRNA from 1 species
UUUGCACACUGCCAGACCCAGAAGUUGGGUGGGAGACCUGUUUCUUUAGAAGGCAACGUCCUGGGUCCCAGGAAAUAAAGGAAAAGAAGAAAUUCUGUAAAACAUAUAUAGAAGACCUUGUGAAGGAAGCCACAGAAAUCAACAUGAAAAAUGAGGCUUUGCAGAAGCUUUGGCCACAGAUGUUCAUUGAGCUUGUUAGGGAUGCAGUCAUAGAAAUUCGCAAUAAAAAUUCCUAUAUGAAGCUCUGCCUACAGCAGAUAACAGACCAAAAAUAAAAAUGGCCUUUAGUUACUGUUGAUUUUGGCAGUUUUAUUUUUUGAAGGUUGAAAAUAUGCAGAUUAUACAUGUUAAAACAACAACAACACUAUCGUAUAAACUAGAAAGACUAGUGUAAAAGCAUUAUUGCCCACUGUUCUCAUAGCUAAAAGUUAAGAAGGAAAGCAGGAGAAAGGAAGGAUUAAUUGCCUGUAUGUGAUGACCAAACAACCUUUGGAAGCUAAGCAGUUUUCAGAGAUGGCGUGGCACUGCAUCCUUGGUUCUUGCUUUGAUUGGUGCCCUGCUAUAGCCCAAAGCACGUAGUAUUUGCUGAUGAUUCAGCAUGAGCUGCAUCUACCUACUUUUAGCUGAUAAUUUUCAGUUAUUUCCCUUUUUAUUUUAUGUCAUGAUUUCAAAGCCAAAAAUAUGUUCUUUUUAUGAGUGAAGAAUAAACUUACUAACAAAUUAGUCAAAA